AGUGAACGCUGGCGGUAGGCCUAACACAUGCAAGUCGAACGGCAGCACAGUAAGAGCUUGCUCUUACGGGUGGCGAGUGGCGGACGGGUGAGGAAUACAUCGGAAUCUACUUUUUCGUGGGGGAUAACGUAGGGAAACUUACGCUAAUACCGCAUACGACCUACGGGUGAAAGCAGGGGAUCUUCGGACCUUGCGUGAUUGAAUGAGCCGAUUUCGGAUUAGCUAGUUGGCGGGGUAAAGGCCCACCAAGGCGACGAUCCGUAGCUGGACUGAGAGGAUGUUCAGCAACACUGGAACUAGGACACGUUCCAGGCUCCAAGGGAAGGCAGCAGCGGGGAAUAUUGGACAAUGGGCGCAAGCCUGAUCAAGCCAUACCGCGUGGGUGAAGAAGGCUUUCGGGUUGUAAAGCCCUUUUGUUGGGAAAGAAAAGCAGCAGGUUAAUACCCCGCUGUUCGGACGGUACCCAAAGAAUAAGCACCGGCUAACUUCGU
rnacentral:rRNA from 1 species